rnacentral:lncRNA from 1 species
CCUCUCCUGAGUUACGAGCUGCUCCUCAGUCCUAAGCUCCAGCCUGCUCCCAGAUGGGUGAGGAGACCAUUCCCAACAAUGGGAGUGUGGUAAAGGAGACUGGAAAUUAGCAGUGGGCAAACUGGACCCAGGAAAGGGAAUGAAGGCUGAAGAUUUUGGGAAGCUGUGCGUGACACUGGUGAAGCAGGGGCCAGAAGCAGUGAACUAAGGAUAUUCAGCUGAAGUAGUUCAGGCAGAGAUAGCUGAACUUUUUACUGCGCCUAUUUAAACAGAGAGGCCUGAACCGGAGAUUAGCUAUUUAUCAGCUGCAUGAUGGAAUGAGAAAUAGCUGCAACAUAUUUCCAUAUUUGGACACAAAGCAAGCUGAACCUACUAAAUGAAAAGUCUGCAUGGGGACGGACAGGCAAGCUGGUCAAGACGAACGGCUUUUUUACCAGAACUAAUUAAGCUAGGAGACAACAUGGAUUUCUCAAAUAAAUCUCACCCGUAUUUCAGAGGAGCACUGGGUGGAUGGAACUGACAGGUUGGCCAAAGCACUCUGUGAAGAUCACUGCUAUUAUUCAAUUGUGUUAGUAUCUCACUUGCACACAGAGUUUAUAAACCAGAAUUAAAG